rnacentral:misc_RNA from 1 species
UGGCUGAAUCACAUGGAAGAGUUCAACAAGUAGCUUAGCAGUUAUGUACUUUGUACUCGGUUCUUAAAUAGAGAUUACUUUGAGAACUACGUGGACUUGAUCCUCCUCCGUAGGAGGUACGUAGGCAGCCUUCGGGUGCGGUCCAAAUUAUGUAAUAACUAUUUUUUGUUUGUUUUAAAUUCUUUUUGUUUGUUUUUCAAUUCACAUUUGCAUUUCACUUGGCUUUUGGAUUUUUGUCAUUUGAGCAAUAUUGUGUAAUAAGGAAUUGAUGUUAUUGUCCUUAAGAAGUCAUCCUAUGACCCAUAUUCUUUAUUGUUAUCAAAUGUAAGAAUUCAUCUUAAGGCCCCAUAUUCUUAAUUCUAUUAUUCAUCCUCUCAUUUUCAAUGAAGUCAAUAUUGUUUUCAUUUUUUCCUUUGUUGAAUACUCCCAAUACCUACUCUUCAUUAUGAUUCAAAAGGAUCGUAUGUUAAAUUGUGCAGUAUAUCCUUUGCUGCAUUAAGAUAUUUUGGUAAUUUGAUUGAUUCCAUUCCAUCAAAAUGUUAUCACAUUACUCUUAUCUUUGUUAUUGCUCUUUUCUUAUACAUAAAUAUCAUUUUGCCCUUCUCAAUUUAGUUGGGAAAACGACACUUAAAAAAAAAAAGAAAAUUGAAAUUGAGGAAAUCCCAAAUUCAAAUGUGGCAGCGUUGGUCAACUGGAAUUUUUCAGCAAGGGAGCAUUGUUGGGCAUCAUGAAUAAAUUGUGACCAAGAAGAAUAAAAAAUAAGAAAAUGGCAGCGUUUUAUGACGCUAACUCAGAAAAAUAAAUUAGCUUGGAAUGAGUGUAUGUAUAGAAAGUCAUCCUCAGGUAACAAGUUGUCACACAUUUAGUUCACUUGAUUCUACUGUAUUAUUGGUUUUUCUUUCACCAUCCAUUGGUUGCUUCAAAAUGGCAUUAUUAGAAUUCCCAUUUUUUUUCAUUUGAGGCUCACUUCUUGCUGGUUCUUUUGAGUUGGUUUCAGGCACGAUGUUCUUUUUUUUGUUCUUGUAGAUGAAGUACAAUAUCAUCUGAACUAAUCCAAGAAGGAAUAUUUGAUGUCUGAAUAUACAAGCAGACACCAAAGAGAAAAUUAAGGGUUUGUAUUUUAGUGCUUGAAAAUUGGUCUAAUAAUAAGUUUUUGUUGGUAAUUAGCUAGCGAAAACGGUUUUGAAGGAGAGCGAUGAAGAGCCAGGGGUUGAGAAUGAGAAAGCAGAGUCCGCUGCUCUUCCUCCAUCUGAGGGGGUUCCUGAAACAACAGGUAAAGAAGAACCCGCUGCAGAUGGUCAUGACGCUGUUAAUACCCAACAGGCUUCUGUUGAGGAUUCGAAGACAGAUGAUGCUGAGGAAAAAGAGGAAACUGAGAAACAUUCUGAGGAGGACGAGGAUCCCGUAACUGACACUCAAACUGCCUCACGCAAAAUGGAGGUUCCCAAUGAUAAGGUUGGGGUUCUUAUUGGAAAGGGUGGAGAUACUAUUCGUUACCUGCAGUAUAAUUCUGGGGCAAAAAUUCAAAUCACAAGGGAUGCUGAUGCUAAUCCUCAAUCCACAACAAGGCCAGUAGAAAUAAUAGGGACUUUAAGUAAUAUAAAGAAGGCUGAGAAGCUCAUUAAUGCUGUCAUAGCAGAGGCUGAUGCUUGUGGUUCCCCCUCCCUUGUAGCUAGGGGCCUACCUAGUGCACAGACAGGUGGAGUGGGAGAACAACUUGAGAUGCAAGUUCCAAAUGAGAAGGUUGGUCUGAUCAUAGGCAGAGGUGGGGACGCCAUUAAAGCUCUCCAAGCCAAAUCGGGAGCACGCAUUCAGUUGAUACCUCAACAUCUUCCAGAAGGGGAUGGUUCCAAAGAAAGGACAGUGAGAGUGACUGGUGAUAGAAAGCAAAUUGAGAUGGCUAGAGAAAUGAUAAAGGAUGUUAUGAAUCAGGUUUGUUAUUUACGUUUCUUAGUUUCCGCACAAUUCAGGCCUAGUUCCUUUCAGUUGUAAUUGCAUCUAUUUGAUAGCUAUAUUGGUUAAUAUUUGAGUAGUUUCUAAUUGUAUUCUUCAAUUAAUUUUUAUGUUGAUAAAUUUUGCUGAAUGGUUAUCGCUAUCUGUUUUAAUCCAUUGUGAGACCCUCUAGUAAUGUGAAAUUAAGAAUUGAAUAAUCCAAAAUGCGAUAUUGGAUAUUUGCUAGUGAUUGAGUGGUGAAUUUUGAUGUUCCAUAUAUGAUUUUCUUUAAUUCCUUGGUCAAUGCAUGUGUAGGAUCUCAUGAGCUGUACUCAUGCGCCAUUAGUGUUUCAAGUUGGCAACAUGUUAUGAAUGUGUGCUUUGCUUUCAGCACCUUGUUAUUCAUGGUUUUACUUUGAUUAGUGGCAUCUCAUUGAAUAUACUUUUGUUAAAAAGGGUUGAUUUGGCAUAAAAGUGAUCAGCUUAGUGGUGCUUGCUUAACAAUGAUGUUAGGUAUAUAAUUUAUGCGGUGAAUGCAGAAAGCAACUCUUUUUUUAAAUAUUUAAUAUGAUUGGCAUCAUCUUUAAGAGCAAAUUGAAGAGGAAAUGCAAAUAUGUAGAAAUUCCUUUAGAAUGUAAGACCUUUUACAUUCUUUUGUUUCUGAAGUCGGAUUCUAGCAAUUGCCUAUUGUGAUUCCAAUUAAUGUUUUCUGUGCAAAUCUUGUUUGACUGGAUCAAUGAGAUGAUGGUCUAUAUCUCUGGCUUUGCCAAGCUACAUGCAGUUGUAGAUCAUGAUUUGUUUUGUUUGCAUGUGUAGCACCUUUUUGUCCAUUUGAGGGAAGGUUAUGUCAUAGUUUUCUGUGGGAAUGAGAGCUAAUUAGUUGAUACGUGGGAAGUUGUGGUAUUGAUGAAUGAUUCAUUCCAAGGUCACUUGAAUGCUCUUAGGAAGAUCAUAUAUGCAAUCCAAGAUGUCGGUUGCCACGAUUUAUUUAUGAUGAAAAUGCCGAUUUCGAAUUGGUUGACCUUAAAAAUGCAGAUUUGGCUUUUGCCUUUCCCAUGGGGCCAGCAUUGCUUUCUCGGUGUAGGAAUAGACAACCACCAUUCACUUUCAUCCACUGAAGAGAGAUAUCAGGCAUUAAAUCUCGCAAUUGCUGGAUGUUAAUAGUUGGUAAGAUUGCUUUGAGACUUGAAAGUUAAAAAUCAUUCAGUGAGACUGUAUUGUGUUAACCUUAGUGCUCUUUAGUGCCCCUUCUAUGAAUGAGACAUUUGUUGGAAGAAGUAUAAUUCGCGGUGAAGUCAUAGUGUAUGAAGUCAUUUUCAGAUUGAUACAUAUAUUAAUUCAUAUCUAUUGCUGUGCUGAACAUAUGAAGAAUGUGGUACAUGUUCUAUGACAUGUAUUGGGCUGCUGCAAAGUUGCAAUAAAGGCUCAAUUACCAAGUUAAGAUCAGUACAAGAAUAUGUUUUGUUGCCCUUGUAACGUGCUAGUUUUCCUAAAUAGAGUAACGUGAUGUGUUGAUGAGUUAGCAUGCACGAAUGAUUUAGGACGGGCAUUUGGUUAUGAUGAAGAUCUUGACUCUUGAAGCAUUGGUGUCCUAUUAACUCUGAUAAAUUUUCAACUUCAAAGGCUCCUCCUGAAAUUCUAAAUGUUUCUCUUUUAUGGAUUUUCAGUUUUGAGUUUACCUUUUAUGCAAUUAUGUGUUGGUCAUCGUGGCAGUGCAGAAUUGAACUUGAGAUUAUAAUGUUUGCAACAGUUUUGCAGUUCAACAUGAUUGUUUCUGCAGUUCAUUUUGCCCCAUUCUUUUGGUUUGUAAGUUUCUGCAAAUUUCAUGUAUUAAAUUGUAGUCUGAAUGUAGACAUGUGGAUUCACUUCCUGAUGAACUCUGGGUACGGUAACAUAUGUAGGCUUUUCUUCACUAGAUGAGAGAUGGAUACUUUAACAUGUUUGUGUUGGGAAUUCAUAUUGUUCUGGGCUGAACAGGAUUAUUAUGUGUAUUGUGUAAAUUCAAAAAGGGGAAGCUACAUAGAAGGGCCUAUAGGCUGUCAUUCGGAAUGCAUAAGUUUAUGGCAGCGCUUUGUGUUUUCAUAAUGAUUUGUGAAAAUUUAAAUUUAUGGACAAGUAUUCUCUUAUAUUAUUAAAAUGCGAAUCUUGCCAGUUGUUAGGAAGCACGACUUUCAGAGCAUAUAUACAUGUGUCAUGUGUGACCUGACCUAUUUAAAGUUCCAUUAUUUCUCUAUGUUUUUUCCACUGUCCCAUUUUGCUUGACCUGCAUCCUUCUCUGUUUGGCCUUUUAGUUCUUUAAAUUAUGACUGUCAGUUGAAGAAAAUAAUUCAGGCAUGUAUCACAUGGUAAGUUUAUUGCAUCUUAAUGUUCCAGGAUUUUGGCCCAAAGACUUGUUAUCCUCCAAUGAUUGAACAGGAGUAGUGUCAAGCUAUCAUUCUGUUUCUUGUUUUACUUUAGAAAGGUCUAAAGGAUGGGAUGCUGUCGUGUUCAUAUUGUUAGUUAUUAGCAUGAGUUUUAAUUUUAUAAGAUUGUUUUCCAUUGUUUAGUUGCCAACUGUUAUGAUGUUGAUGAUUAAUUUUAUAAUUGAAGCAAUUUUUAUACCUUUUUUUUAUUUUAAUUUAUGUUUUCUGUUUUCAAUUCUUAUGGCUAAUUUUGUAUGCGUUACAUGCCUUGCAUGUUAUUAUUGUCAGGGUUUUACCCAGGUGUUUGCUUUGGAAAAGGAGACAUGUUUUUUGAAUUUAAGCAGCUACUGUGCCUUACUCGUACUGUUUAUUUUAAUUUUUUUAAUAAUUCCUUUUUAUUGGAUAAUUGCUUCUUACUAACUUUAUUUUUGUAAUUUGCCUUGGGUAGACUGUGAGGUCAUCACCUUACUCCGGCAGUUUCAACCAGCAGCAUUCCUAUCGACCCCGUGGAUCCACUGGUCCAUCAAAUUGGGGUCCGCGAGGCCCUCAUUCAUCACAGCCAAAUCCUUACGAUUAUCAUCUCCGAGGACCUUAUCCUUCUCAAAGUUCACAGUAUCCACCUCCAAGUUAUGGUGGUUAUCCUCCCCAACAAAUGGGCCCAAGAGGUAACUUUGGUUCUGGUUGGGAGCAAAGACCUCCCACCAUGCAGGGGCCAGUUCCGCAUGGUGGAGUUUAUGACUACGGUGUCCAGGGAGGCCAUGUAUCUGAUCACCCAGCGUCUGGCCCAAUUUCUACUCCUGUUUCUGGGCAUGCUCCUGGCCCAUCCCCUACCCCUGCCAUGUCCCAUCCCCCAUCACAGGUAAAUUAUAAUUAUGGGCAGCCACAUGGUCCAGAUUAUGGGCAUCAAGCUCCUUAUUCCCAGGCGGUACCUUCUCAGCAGAGCUAUGGGCAUGGAUAUGAUGAACCAAAGUAUGACAAUCAUGCUCCAAUGCAGCAUCCUUAUGGACAUGGAAGUUCCCAACCAGUAUAUCCACAAGCCAGCAAUCAACCAGGCUAUAGGGCGCAGCAGCAGUAUGGAAAGCAACCAUCAUGUGGCAUGCCAUUGCAGGGACCACCUCCCCAAUCAUAUGGCCCUCCUAGGCCUAGUCAACCUGGUGAUAUGCCAUAUCAAGGUCCCAUUCAAUCCAGUCAAUCAUAUGGUCCAAAUGUGCCACCUCAACAGCAGUAUCCUUAUGCAUCAAGUGGGCCAAUGCAGCAAUCGUAUCCUUCAUAUGGAUCUGCAUCAGGAGCUGAGGGGUACAAUCAGGCAAUGCCUACUUCUGGCCCCGGCUAUCCACAGCAAGGUAGCCAGCCAGUUCCAUCUUAUGGUCAGCCUGGUGGACAACAGUCAACUGGCUAUGUGCAAGGUCCAACCAGUGGUUAUGGAUUAUACCCAUCUUCGCAACAAUGUUAUCCAGAACAGCCAGCUUCAAACAAUGCAGGUUAUGGGUAUCAAGGGUCUCAAGAUCCUGCUUAUGGCAGUGGCCCUGGGGCAACCUAUAGUGCACCACCAAGUGGCCAGCAGGCUUAUGCUCAGCCAACAGCAACUCAACCAAGUUAUGAUCAGUCGGUUCCUCAGUCAGGUGCAUAUGGAGCUGCUCCAGGAAGUGCACCAGUUGGGUAUGGGAAAAACCUUGUCUCCCUAGCGCACUUACCCUCAAUAUGACUCAACUCUGAUAUAUGUUGCACCGCUCUGAGAAUUUAGUUAUAGCUUGAUGGCGAGUUUGUACUGCUGAUGCAUAUUGAGCUUUUGCAGUUAAGUAUUACAAAUAUGUUAUUAUCCGGGUAGUAUUAGCUUUAGAUAUUUGACAUUUAGGUCUUCUUCUGACUACCAAUCGAACACCAAGAUUAUGUAUCUGCAUGAUGCUGACUGGGAAUGCAUCUAAGUUUAUUGUCAUUGUUGUUUUCUUUUUUGCUAUGAUCAUUGUUUUCCUUCUCUUUGAAGUGGGCUUUUUGUGUGGAUGGAUUGUAUGAUUUGGAUCUGGGGUUUUUAUUUAAGCGAAUCAUGAGCAGCCG